CAUCUUCUCAGACGGAACAAAUAUAGAAUCCGUUCUCAGGUUAAAAUCUGAUCAUAGCCAGUAAAUCAGGCAACGAGAAGGAGCCAUAAACAGUCGAAGUUUCAAAAUUAGGAAGGGGAAUCGGAGAGUGGAGCCUUCGACGAUAACACGGGUGUUUCUGAGGCAGCGAGAGUGGAGCCCAUAAACAAUUGAAAUUCCAAAGAUAGGAGGGGAAUCGGAGAGUUGAGCCUUCGACGAUGACAUAGGUGUUUCUGAGUUGUACCAGUGGUUUGCCAUAGGUAGGACAAUUGACAGGAAACUGUGUUGGUCGCUCGUGUUCAAUGGACGGGCACUUCGAAAAAUGGUUCAUAGGUCAUGGAGAGGGUAUUUGAAUUUGAUUGUGGAAAGGAGGAUUAAGAAGUGGAAGGGGUGGAAUAGAAAUAUUGUAGGCUCAUGUUUAGCUGGGACAGAGGAAGAGCCAAAAAGGUAUAUUUGACAGAUAGGUGUUAAGGUAAUUUUAUACAGUUUUUAUCAAUAAUGUUUUUAAAUACAUGCAAUUCAUUGUUUAGCAUGUUGUGAUUGGUUUUCUAUAUUGCUCUUGAGCAUGAAUUCUGAUCUUUGAUUAACUAUUAGGUUCUUUAAAAGUUAGGAUCUUGCAGUGGUAGGACCAACUAUUUCCAGCUCUCUGUCAUUGGCAGAAUUUUAUUUGUUAAUUCAAGACCGAAAAAUAUAUAGAUUAUAAUAGUUUGAAUUUUUCUAAACGAGAUUAUUACAUGAUUAUACAAUAAUGCAGUAUAUGAUUAGUAUAUAGAACUCUCUUUUUAUCCAAUAAUGAACAAGUUCCUUUAUUUUAUGUAAAAUUGGUUAUAAAUCGCUUUCCAUAAGAUGAUAUAGAUGAUAAUCAAUAUAAAAUUCAAACCUUAUUUUACAUUAUACAAAUUCUUCAAAAAUAAUUAGGUUCUUCAUAAUCUAACGACACCAGUCUACCAGAUAUAUCAGAUAUAUUUGACGAGGAAAGCUAGAUGUUAGAUUAUAUCACCCGCUCUUGUCAUUUCUGUUUGACAAUAUGUGUAGUUUGUAUGAGUUUCAUCUAUGAUGCAUGGUAGAAUGUCCUUUUCAGUGGUUUAGAGUCAUACAAGAAUAUUUUGGUCAUUUUACCAAAGUUAAGAAUAAAGGUGCAAUAAAAAAUCUUCACUGCAACACUUUCAGGGAGCGGGUACAUCAUCAAUUAAGCAUCAUGUAACAUAUGUAAAUAUAAAAAUUAUAACUUUUACAUGUCUAAAUCUCAAGCAAGUUUACUUUCAUCAUCAGGGGACCAUACUGUAUAUAUGCCUACGUAAAGAAAAAAGGUGCCAAAAAAAAGUGUAUGAUAUUAUCAAAAUGCCCAUGUAUAACUCCAUUAGAUCCUGUAUUACACAAGCUACAACCUAAACUAAAAUCAGACGACAUCAGAGUGAAAUCAUAAACUUCUUGCAUGCUAAACUGAAAUCAGACAGCAUUUAAGUGAAAUCAUCAAAUCCAAUUUAGCCAGGUAUACUAAUUCUAUUUGCUUUGAUUAUUGAUCCACUUAUAUGUUAAUUGUCAUUGUAUUUAGUUUUUGGAUCUGAUCUUUUGAUAGAGCUUAAUUGGAGUUUAUGUCCUUUUUUUGUAAUUGCUAAUGGUUGGAUGAUUCAUUUGACAUGUGAGUGCUUUUGAUUAAUAAGAUAUUGCUUUUCUAAUGAAUAAAGAAUUUGAAAUUCUAGAUUUGUAGACUUUUUUUAUGCAGGAGGCCUUGAAGGUAGAUAGUUGCAGAUGGUUUGUUGAGUGUAAUACCCAUCCUCAGUAGAAUUGUAAAGAGUACUUCUGCGGAGUUAUUGAUUGAUACUUUAUGUGCUGCAAGAAAAGUUGUCGACAUUAACUUCAAAUUUCUUUUACAAUAAUUUUAUGGGAGGCAUUGGUGUAAUGUAUAGUCAAUUUUCACAUUGCAAAAGUAUUUAUUAAAAAAUUAAAAAAAAUUAUGAAUAUUAGUUGUGAUGUUAUAUAUCCGAUCUUUGUUAUUUCGCUAAUCUUGAUGUAUUUUUUGUCUAGCUGAAUAAUACUCUAGAAGACUUGAGGUGAACACCUUUUACAUG